rnacentral:rRNA from 1 species
GAGAGAAGUUACAAGGGCGAACGGAGGAUGCCUUGGCUUCUGGCGGCGAGGAAGGACGUGGUAAGCUGCGAAAAGGUGCGGGGAUCUGCAAACAGGACUUGAUCCGCACAUAUCCGAAUGGGGCAACCCGUGUGAAUGAAGUUCACACACUCUAUAAGAGAGCCAACGCAGGGAACUGAAACAUCUCAAUACCUGCAGGAAAAGAAAGAAAUAAUCGAUUUCGCUAGUAGUGGCGAGCGAACGCGAAAGAGCCUAAACCAAAGUUGUUACGGCAAUUUUGGGGUUGUAGGGAUUACGCCAGUUAUCAAGUAUAAUAAAGAAGAAAGACCUGGAAAGGUCUCCCAUAGAGGGUGAUAGGCCCGUAUUUGUAAGAUUAUGCUAGAAACAGUAAUUACCUGAGUAGGGCGGGACACGAGGAAUCCUGUCUGAAUCUACGGGGCCCAUCCCGUAAGGCUAAAUACGACCAGAAGACCGAUAGUGAACCAGUACUGUGAAGGAAAGGUGAAAAGAACCCCGAACAGGGGAGUGCAAUAGACCCUGAAACCGUUCGUCUACAAGCGGUCGGAGCAGGCAAGACCUGCGACGGCGUGCCUUUUGGAUAAUGAGCCUACGAGUUGUUUCACACUAGCGAGGUUAAGUUCUUCAGGAACGUAAGCCGAAGCGAGAGCGAGUCUGACAAGGGCGUAUAGUUAGUGUGAACAGACGCGAAACCUAGUGAUCUACCCUUGACCAGGUUGAAGGAGCCGUGACAGGCUUUGGAGGACCGAACCGGUUUCCGUUGAAAAGGAUUCGGAUGAGUUGAGGGUAGGGGUGAAAGGCUAAUCAAACUGGGAGAUAGCUCGUACUCCCCGAAAUGUCUUUAGGGACAGCCUCAUAAUAGCUUAACGGAGGUAGAGCGACUGAUAGGAUGCGAGGGCUUCAUCGCCUAUCAAUUCCUGACAAACUCCGAAUGCCGUUAAGUGUUUUAUGGGAGUGAGUCGCCGGGUGCUAAUGUCCGGUGGCGAGAGGGAAAGAGCCCAGACCAACAGUUAAGGCCCCGAAAUGUAUGUUAAGUUGAAAGAACGAGGUGGCAACGCAGAGACAGCUAGGAUGUUAGCUUGGAAGCAGCUAUUCAUUUAAAGAGUGCGUAACAGCUCACUAGUCGAGCGCAGCUGCGUGGAUGAUAAACGGGCAUCAAACAUACUGCCGAAACUAUGGACUUUGUUAAAAGUGGUAGGGGAGCAUUCUAACCGGCGCAGAAGGUGAAUCGUAAGGUUUGCUGGAGCGAUUAGAAAAGAAAAUGUAGGCAUAAGUAACGACAAUGCAGGCGAGAAACCUGCACACCGAAAACCCAAGGUUUCCUGAACAACGUUAAUCGGAUCAGGGUAAGUCGGGACCUAAGGGGAAUCUGAAAAGAGGACUCGAUGGACAAACGGUUAAUAUUCCGUUACCUGUAUAUCAUAGUUAGGAGAGACGGAGAGGUGACACGCACGCGUGCUGACGGAAUAGCACGUUGAAGGACGUAGGUAUAGGACUUUGUUAAGAGCUGGUCCUGCUGAUGUCUGACAGUACAGCAAUACUUCGGUAGCGCUGAUAGUUGCGGUAAACGGACUUCCAAGAAAAUCUUCGAAGCGUUAAUGGUAUAUCAGCCCGUACCGUAAACCGACACAGGUGGGUGAGGAGAGAAUCCUCAGGUGCUCGAGUGAAUCAUGGCUAAGGAAUUCGGCAAGUUUACCCCGUAACUUCGGGAUAAGGGGACCCUGCUAAGCAGGGCGCAGAGAAAUGGCCCAGGCGACUGUUUAACAAAAACACAUGGCUUUGCAAAAUCGUAAGAUGAAGAAUAAGGCCUGACACCUGCCCGGUGCCGGAAGGUUAAGAGGAGAU